rnacentral:rRNA from 1 species
GUAAAGGCACACCAAGGGGGAUGAUAGGUAGGCGGCCUUAACGGGUGGUCGCCCACACUGGGAUUGAGAUACGGCCCAGACUCCUACGGGAGGCAGCAGUCGAGAAUAGUCUACAAUGGUCGGAAGACUGAUAGUGCGACGCCGCGUGAACGAGGAAGCCCUUCGGGGUGUAAAGUUCUUUUAUAUGUGAGCAGUGGGUUCUACGUUAAUAGCGUGGGAUCAGGGAUAUUAGCAUAUGAAUAAGCAACGGCUAACUCCGUGCCAGCAGCCGCGGUAACACGGGGGUUGCGAGCGUUGUCCGGAAUUACUAGGCGUAAAGGGCAGGUAGGCGGAUCUAUAAGUUUUUAGUCAAAUUCAACGGCUCACCCGUUGCUCGGCAGGAGAUACUGUAGAUCUGGAAUGCGGUUGGGGAAGACAGAAUUCCUGGUGUAGCGGUGGAAUGCGCAGAGAUCAGGAGGAAUACCUAAGGCGAAGGCAGUCUUCUAAGCCGUAAUUGACGCUAAACUGCGAAGGUGUGGGUAUCAAACAGGAUUAGAUACCCUGGUAGUCCACACAGUAAUUAAUUUAUCACUGGGUGUCGGGUUCG